ensembl:rRNA 5S_rRNA 5S ribosomal RNA
AUCUACAGCCUUACCACCCUGAACGCGCCCGAUCUCGUCUGAUCUCGGAAGCUAAGCAGGGCCAGGCCUGGUUAGUACUUGGAUGGGAGACCGCCUGGGAAUACCAGGUGCUGUAGGCU